AAGACAAAUGCCCUACUUGCUCGCUAAAAUUGAAACGAUACAGAGAAGAUUAGCAUGGACCCCUGCACAUUCACUUGUAGCACUGUAGCACUGUCUU
rnacentral:snRNA from 1 species